UCCUGCUUAUAACAGCAGAGAUGAGAAAAUGCAAUCAUUAGGAAAGAAUAAACCUGACCAGCAGGUGGAUCAUGUUUUUCUCUUCUAGAAUAUUUUCCAUUGCUACUAAUGUUAAGCAAUCAAGAGACAUUGAUGGCCAUGGAAGAGACUAUAUUAUAAGAAAAAUGCAGGAUUAAAGAAUGUAAAGGGCUAUUUGUACUAAACAGAUUAAGCUGCUAGUAAACAUGUCCCCUUUAAAUUAAGUGGUGGUGAAGACAAAGGAAGUGCUUUGUUGUUGUCAGCUGGAUUUGUCUUAAGUCAAAUGGGCAAACAACUUAAACAUCAGUCCUCUUUAAAAUCCCUAAUGGCUGUGCAGAUUACAUCUGAAAAGCUUUACAGAACUUUGUUUUCAACCUGCAUUAGCAUACAAAUAUUAAACAAGAAUUUCACUUCUCUCCAGUCUUGUCACUUGUGAUGAAUACAUCCUUGCUUGGAACAGUAAAACAAACAGAAGUUGUGUUUUUCUGACCUGGCACUAAUAAAAUGUGUGGGUGCAGCAUGCGUUUCAGAAUCACAGACUGCUGCCAUCAGCCAUCACCAUGAUGCCCACUCACACAACCCACUGAAAUAUGUCCCUCAGUGCCACAGGUAGAGGAUACCAAGAGCCCACAUAGCCUUGUAUCAGUGUGGAAUGAAUUCAAGAUAAUGCACUGUGAGUUCACCUUCCAUCCUACUGUCUACAGUAGGAAUUCAUGUGGUUUGGUUUCUGUCAGGAAGAGAUUCUGGAUGAACAUAUCACUUACACAUCCCAGCUAGGAGUGUGAAAACUUGCUGGCUCUCAGCUUCAGAAGUACUGGAAACUGGACAAAACUAUAAUUGAGCAUUCACAACUUCCAUGAAUUUCAGUGCUCUUGCAGCUUUGUGAUGAUGGAAAUCAACUGAGUGUUUGCUCCAAUUGGAUUUUCAUUCAGUUUAUUAAUGAUAAAAAAAAAAUGUAACUUCAUGCAUAUUAAAGGAGUGUUGAUUGAAGGUCACAGAGGUGUUAGCUGUGGUGUCCUGGCUAAAUUCCAGUUGGCUAAUUACAAUCUGCCUUCCUAAAACUCCCUUGUAGUUUCAUUAUUUAGUUCAUUGUCUCUUUAUUACUUUGUUCCAAACUCUUAGCAGCACUGUUUUAUUUCUGUUGAAGAACUUUUAUUGUUGAACGUGUUGGUUCAUCAGAAUGCAAAUGAUGAAGCCAACUUUCUGCCUCUCUGAAUAGAGUGUCAAUUGUAUAGGUAAGGAAUGUGAGAAUCAAUACAUCUAUGUGUAGUAAAAAAGCAACUGUUUUAUAAUGUCAUAUUGCAAUAUGUGAUUGUGACUGUUAUAUGCUGUGCUAAAAUCUGAUGGCACUCAUAUGGGAAUGUGUACCUUUUUGCUCUUUUAUUCCAGUUAUCUAUGUCAUUUGAUAUAAUUUCUUUUUUCCCCAAGCUAGUUCAUUUUUGGAAUGUGUGCUCUCUUCUUGGCUGGUGCUUUCUAUCCUUCUGGUGGGCAUUCUUCCAGAUUCUUUUGAGCAAAGCAGGUUGAAUGGGUGGUCUUAUGAGUGGUACAAGCUGUUUUUCUCACCUCUGUGCCUUUUUCCAAAGGCUACCUAUUGUCCCGGGAUCAUGUUCUGAAAAACAUAAGAAUAUAUUCUCUUUGGUGGUGCAGAAUAACACUGCCCUCCACUGCAGCCAGAAAUAUGGUGAGACUUCUCAGAAAGGUGGGUUAUGUACUUGGUUAUAACUCAGACAAUCAUGUUGCAGCUAGCAGAGUUGAUUAAUAAAGUUAGUUGGUGUUUUGCAUCCACAAUAAUUUUCACUUCUAAUAGGGCCGCACAUCAACAGUGUUGCCUAGUAGUAAUAGCUGGGUGAAAAUAACAUGAAACUAUCAUAAUGUUUGCAUUUUGAGUCAUAUUUGGAAAGAAUUAGCCAAAUCUGCAGUUGCUAGAAUGAAUAUCAUGCCACUACAAUUAAGGAAGGACUGAUUAAUCCUGGCAAAGAACUUGGUUAAAGACUGAGAUCAAACUUGUCUGUGGUCUGCACUGACUUUGCUGUUACUCCAUGGUCCUGAUUUUUGGUUGCUGAAGGUUCACCAUGAGCACUGAUGGCAAAGUGAAGGAGCCAUACGGAAAUGGGUUCUAAUGCAGUUGAAAUGAUUUGCUCCAGAGAUUAGGUCCAAGCUCUUAAUUG